GACGACGCUCGUGUCUCGGUUCCAUUUAACGAACGGCAAGGCGUUCAAACAUCUGAUGGGAAUCAGAAACAUGUGGACAUACAUAAUGGACGAAGACGAUAAAUCUACUUAGAAAGUUAACAUAUUCGUGAACUUACACUCAUUCCAAAUCAUUUUUCAUUAACUAACACAUUAGAAGUGAGGUGUAGUGUAGAUAGACCGGGGAAAAUGGUACGGUUUGUAACAUGGGGAGUUGUAUAUAGGCCCGGUCCAUGGCAUAAGCCACAUAAGAGGUUGAUUCCUAUCAUUGCAUUCAAAAAUUCAUUACAAAUUUGCAUUAUAUGUUUAAUUGUAUAUUUUCUUAUAUUGGCUUUGGGCUUUAAACAAAUUUUGUUCUUGUUGGUCGGGCACUCCAGUAUAUUUACGUGGAAAUGCAAAGAUAAAUGUAUUGAUUAAAAUAUACAUGUGAAAGUUUUGGGAUGUCUACUUCAGGACAAAGCAUCUCCAUAAUGUGAUGCAAUGAUAGCAACGAUAGAAUGAAGGGAAAAGGAGAGAGCUAAGCUAGAGAUGGUGGCUAACAAUAUAAAGCGCAAAGAGUAAGUCAGAGGAAUCAUCAAUGGAUAAUCUGAAACUAAAAAGAGAGGGUCUGAUGGUGAGAAGAGGAGUAUACGUAGAAUCUCCUUUUUGCAACAAUCUCAUCACUUUGAAAGCAAUAACAACUCCAGGAAUCACCCUCUCCUAUCUCUGAUAAGUUUAUUUGCAUCUUAUGAACUCCUUCAUAAGUUAUAUAUUUGGUUCUAAAUUCUAAUAGUAAAGUUCUGUUAGUUAGUUAGCUUUGAUCCAUUUUGUUGUAUAUAAGAUACUCAAAAGGAUGGCUAUGUAUGAACAGUAGUAGAGAUAAUAUCAAUAGUAUAAUUAUAACAAGUUUUGAACACUUUUUUAGAGAAGCGUGGAUGGAUGGGGUUUCAUUUCGGUGUUGACUAUCUCCUCCAAUUCCAUUUGAUGUCUCUUAUAACUUGGUUUGUCUUUGCAUUUUGGGUUUCUCUAUUGACAUUAUCAAUACAAGAAAUGAGUACAUUUUAUUUAGUGGUCCUAGUCCUUGGUCUCAUCAAUUUAUUCUUCUAAACCUUUUUUCUCCAUGUAUAUCAUCAGUACAUGUAAUGAGUAGAGUCUUUUUGUCAAUGUGUAGCUUGAUAUUUUUAUUGAAUAGUCAUGAAAUUUAGCUUUAUAUGAUAAGAAUUUUUCACAUGAGACUAUUUUGUUAUCUACUUGUUUCUUUUUACUUUUCUACUGGGUUUUAGAGAAAUUUAAUCUGGUGGGAUAUAGUUAGGAUGUUGGCAAAAAAAUAAUAAAUUAGAGAUUGGAAAAUAAGGAGUUUUUAUUGGGCUACAGAAAGAAGGAAGGGGAUUGGGCAUAUGUGCAUGUGGAAUUUGUGGGUUUUGAAAAGAAAAUAGCCCACAAAAUUCAUUAAUCAUGAUGAUAAUGAUGGUUGAUGAAUCUAUCGUCGUCGAGUGGGGAAUGGGGUUAUUAUGGCAAAGGGAAUGCGUAUGAUGAUUGUGUGGGAGGAAGAAGCCAAGUCGAUGGUUUCGUUUUCGAAAUUAAAUGUGCUUUGGUUUUUGCUUCUACUCCAACUCGAGUACUCCAUGACUUUAUCCACUACUACUUACUUCAACAUAUAUAUAUGUUACUAUGUUUAUAAUGUGCAUAUAACAUACAUGUAUAUUAUUAUUGUAAAUAUACUAAAACAAAAGUCAUUGCACCCGAUUCCGUUGUAUCGAUUUCACUCUUUUUCCUGUUCUUUCCAAGUUUUCAGAACCAUCAUCCCUUAAACCCAAGCUCUCUACCUCACGUGAACCAUCACGAGCCAACAAUACGAUAUUGACUAGGUAUAUCAAUAUAUAGAUAAAGAAUACAUAAGGAAGAUACACAGUAUUGGCUUAACAUGGUGCUAAGCUAUGUUUUAUCAUAUAGUUGCCCAAUAUGCGGCUCAUAAUAAAGAUAAGCACAGUGCUUAUUAGCUAAGGAUCUUAAUAAUAUUCUACAUCUAAACAUCUAUAUAAACUAAUGGACGGGGAACAAUGACAAACAAAUGGGAGCAAGUAAAGUUAAAUAAACUUUUGAAAGUAAGUCUUGUUGUGUUUAUUUAACGGAAUGAUUAACCAUCAUUAGAUAUGACUUUCAAUGAGUUGAAAAUUCUGGAUUUUACACUCUCUUUACUUUGGUGGCUCGGAUACGUAAUCAUAAAACCCAUUAAACAGAAAACACAAAGAAAGAAAAGAAGACAGACUUGAUGGAUUAAAAAAAGAGUUAAGAGGAAACACUUGUACUUGUGAUGAAGAUCGAGGUUUUGACGUCCUCUUAACCUUUUGACUACUUUGGCUCCCAACUAAUCAUGAUUUGACCUUUUUCCAGUCAAAAAAAUCUGCCAAAUCGCUUCAUUAAACUCAAGACAAUUCUUACAAACAAAAAGUACAGUUUUCUUGUGCAAAAUUUAAAGCUUAAUCUCACAAAAAUAAGCAGAGGUUAAAUCCACUUUAUUGAUUCUUUUCUUCAACAAAAGGUUAACCAUUUUACUGUAAUAGUAUGUGUAACAUUAAAAAUGUGUGUUCAAAUUUCAAAUUUUAUUCAUUUUUCUUUUAUUCACUUAUAAUCAGAGCGCUAUAAUUAAAUAUUUGAAUUUUGAUACCUUCAAAUAUUUUUUAAGUAAUUUACUAUAUUAAAUAAAUAAAAAUGGAAGAACUUUUGGUCUAGAUCCAUACCUUGUUUUGAGAACCCAAUAAGUGAUCAUUUGGUUGGAACAAGAGACCGAGCCUUACAACCAAAGGGUUAGUUCAUUGUAAUGGUUAGGUCGAAGAUUCAUAAAUUUCAUUUAUACCUAAUCAGAGCUUGUACCAGUAAAAUUUAUUCGGUCUAGAAUAUAUUGUGUAUAUGUAAAUGUAAAGCAUAGUUGUUGGUGUAUAAGAAUAGCCAAAUGUUGCACAGAUUUGACUAACUGUCACCUACAUUUGUAAGGCUCCAUCAAACCAUGUGACUAAGUUGACAAACAAACAUUAUCAUAAGUUAUAGCCUUAUAGGGAACCAAAAUUGUAUAGUUUGUUUCUUCAUGUGUACCUCUUAACUGUGAGUUGAGCUUUAUAGUUUAUAGGGAAACUAUUAAAAUUCUUCUAAAUAGUACGAUUAUCAGUCUAACAAAAAAAAAGAUAAAAUAAUGAUAUGAUAUAGAUAGAGACUGUUUUUGCUAAUACUUGUUCUUCUCCCUCAUAAACAUCUUUCACUGGCCCUUUGUAAUUAUGAUUCUUCUCUUGACAUCAUUGUCUUCUAAAGGAGCAUCUCUAUCUCUCUAUAAAGAAAAUGCAAAACACAACAAACUUUCAUCUAUAUAACGCUUCUAUAUCUCUCCCACUUGAUCAAACACAUCUCACUUCUCCUCUCUGUCUAUUCCUGAUCUCUUCAAGAUCCAAACAUGUGUUUAAGUUCUUCAAAACCAUUCUCACACACACCCACGAGACUAGUCCUGUACCUCAAAACACAAACCCACGUUCGCAUCCCUCGCCUCUCCAGGAGGAGAAAGAUGUGGCGAGAAGAAAAGGAGAUGGAGAUUAACAAUAUAAGACUCUACAUGGAGAAUCAGUACAUGAUUCAAGAAAACGAGAAACUCAGGAAGAAAGCUCUUAUCCUUCACCAAGAAAACAAAGCUCUCCUCUCUCUGCUUCAGACCAAAAACGUUUCCCUUGUUCCAUAAAACAAAAAAAAAAACAAUCUAAGGGCUCUAAAACACAUGCCAGUGUCUUAUCAUAUAAAGGGGUUUAGUAUUAUUACUUGGUAUACAUCUAAUUUUUUUUUAAGUUUCAUCUCUCAUGUAAUCUAUGUAUGUGUGUUCUUUUGUUAAUGGUACGUCAGACCAAAACUA